UGGGAUCACUGGACUCUGAAUCCCUACAGGAAAAGAGCCUCGGAAUAAUGUAGCCUCUGGAAAACUCCAUUGUACACUUGUAAGAGAAUGGAAAUUCAAAAGCUUCACCACUUGCUAGAGGUGUGCACCUGAGAGAGCUGUUCCAUUGCCUCAUCUUCCAUCUCUUCAGCUGCAAAAUGAGGAU